AACGAACGCUGGCGGCAGGCUUAACACAUGCAAGUCGAACGCAUCCUUCGGGGUGAGUGGCAGACGGGUGAGUAACGCGUGGGAACGUGCCCUUCAGUUCGGGAUAACCCAGGGAAACUUGGGCUAAUACCGGAUACGUGCGUGAGCAGAAAGAUUUAUCGCUGAAGGAUCGGCCCGCGUCUGAUUAGCUAGUUGGUGGGGUAAUGGCCCACCAAGGCGACGAUCAGUAGCUGGUCUGAGAGGAUGAUCAGCCACAUUGGGACUGAGACACGGCCCAAACUCCUACGGGAGGCAGCAGUGGGGAAGAUUGGACAAUGGGCGCAAGCCUGAUCCAUCCAUGCCGCGUGAGUGAUGAAGGCCUUAGGGUUGUAAAGCUCUUUCGUCCGGGACGAUAAUGACGGUACCGGAAGAAGAAGCCCCGGCUAACUUCGUGCCAGCCGCCGCGGUAAGAC
rnacentral:rRNA from 1 species